AAUAGCUUAUAGCUAGAUUUGAUUUUAUAUUCAUUUAAUAAUUCCUUGAGAGUUUAGUACAUUUAUAUUUAUUGUGAUUGCUAAUAUGCUUGGAUUCAUUUUGAUUAUCUAAUUUUGUGCUCUCCUUUGGUUGAUGGUUUUCUAUUUUGCUGCCCUCUUUUGGAUUGACUUUUUCUUUAUUUUUCUCCUUAGCAAAUCCCACACUGGAUUGGUAGUUAUAUAUUCCAUUUUAUUCUUUUAUAGUUCUUACAGUUUUAAUGUGCAUACUAGACUUAGCAGUCUAAAGCUGACAAUUUUUUCUACCUUCCCUCUGGGCCGUUCAAAAACCUUAGGACACUUUAAUUUAAUGACUACUCCCCCUCUCCUCUUGUUAUUUUUAAGCAUCAAAAAUUUAUUUUGGGGCUGAGGGUCUUAGCUCAGUGAUAGUGUGUUGCCUAGUUUGCAUGAGGCCCUGGGUUCCAUCCCCUGCACCUACUCACAAUUCUGGAUGCUAGAAAUAUAAUAUUAAAGUAUCAGCUAGGGUAAUGUUUCCUACUUAGUGACUUGUAUUUUCAUAUUGUUAUUUGAAGAACAGAACACAUUAAAAAGUUUGUGUGUGUGUGUAUGUGUGUGUGUGUGUGUGUGUGUGGUGCUGGGGAUCAAGCCUAGGGCAUCAUGUGUGCUACAGAAGCACUCUACUCCUGAACUAUGUCCCUGUCCUCUAACUACAUUAAAUUUUAUCAGGGUUAAUUCAUAAAAUUUGCUAUUCCUGAUUGUGAUUUUUUUUUUUUUUUUUGGUACCGGGGAUUGAACUUCAGACCUUGUGCUUGCAAAGCAGGUGGCAGCACCACUGAGCUAAAUCCCUGACCCCUCUUGAUUGUGAUUUUGAUGAAAAAUUUAAGAAAUUUUUGCCAAAUCCAGGAUUACAAAAUUUAUGCCAAUGCUUCUUAUGCUUUUAUUUAGGUAAAUGAUCCUUUUUGAGCUUUUUGUGAUUUGAGUUAGGAAACCAACUUAUCUUUUGCAUUUGGAUAUCCAAUUUUGCCAGUAUCAUUUGUUAAAAAGAUUUUUCUUUCCUUGUUGAAAUGUUUGGUCCCUUUGUCAAAGUCAAUUUACUGUUAAUUUAUGUGUUUAUUUAUGAUCUAUUAUUAUUAAAUCUAUUCCAUUGGUGUAAAUGAGUAUCCUUACACUUACCACCUGCUUUGAUUAGUGUAACUUUGUAGUAAGAAUUUCAGUAAAUUUAAAUAAUAGGCUUUUGUUACUUUUUUAAAGGAUUGUUUUAUGUUUCCUUUGCAUAUAAAUAUAGAUUUUGAAGAUGCUUGUUAGGGAGCUUCGAAUAUAGUUGGGAAUUUGAAGAGACUGCAUUAAAUUUGUAGAUCAAUGUAUGGAGUACUGUGUUCUGACAAUAUUAGAUAUUAUUGUUGUGGACAUUAUCCGUCCCUCCCUUCCUUUCUUCCUUCCUUCCUUCCUUCCUUUUUUUUUUCAGUACUGGGGAUUGAAUCCAAGGCCUUUGGACUGAGCUGUAUCCUCAGCCCUUUUUAUUUUUUAUUUUGAGACUGGGUCUUGCUAAGUCACUGAGUUGCCUGGCUCAAUUCAAACUUUCAAUCUUCCUGCCUCAGCCACUCCAGAGUGCUGGGAUUACAACUAUGUACCACCAAACCUGGCUUUAGUUCUUUCUUUGAUCUCUUUCAGCACUUAAAAAAUUGUUAAUCUUUGUUACAAAUUGACAAAUUAUAGACAUAUGUAGUGUAUAAAGUGAUGUUAUGAUGAAUGAAUAUAAUUAUAUUAAACUAUUAACAUAUUCAUCACUUCAAAUACUUAAGUGAUGUUAGGAUAUUUUAAUUUUGAUGACCUCUUCCCUUCUUUUAUGUACUGUUGCCCAGUAUUGUAGCUUUUAUCUUUUUACCUCCUGGAUUUGUCUUCAUUAUUGUUGUUACUAUUUACUGUUGUUACUUGAUUGAUGCACACUACAGCUUCUUAUAGUCAUUCUUUCCUCCUAAAGUAUAUUCUGAAGUUUUUCAGUAAAUGUUUGUUAGUAGCAAGCUCUAACAAAGAUAUAUUUUACCCUUUUUGUUUGAUAUAUCUUAGCUUACUGGGGAAAUUCUAAGUCAACAUUUAUCUUCUCUCAAUGUUUUAAAGAUAUUUCAUUGUCCUCUAUCUUCUAUUGUUGCUAUUAAGAAGGCUGCUAUAGGGCCGGGGAUUUAGCUCAGUGGUUCUGCCGCCUGCCUCACAAGCGCAAGGAUCUGCAUUCCAUCCCUGAAGAAGAAGAAGAAGAAGAAGAAGAAGAAGAAGAAGAAGAAGAAGAAGAAGAAGAAGAAGAAGAAGAAGAAGAAGAAGAAGAAGAAGGCUGCUAUUAACAGAAAUGUCCUUAUAGCUAAUUUCAUUUCUCUCUGGUUGCUGUUCAGAUCUUGUUUUGGUUUUUUUGUUCUUAAAUUUCACAGUAUCUUUCUAUGUAUGUUCCCUAAAUCUGAGGAUUUAAAACUUUCCUCUGGUUACUGGUUGCAUGGUACAUUUUUUCCCCACUCUUACUUUCAACACAUUUUAUAUUUUGAAUCUAAGGUAUGCCUCUUGUAGACAACCUAUAAUUGAAUCUUGCUUUUUUAUAAAAUCCCAAUCAGUCUCU
ensembl:lncRNA